UACGUAGGUGGCAAGCGUUGUCCGGAUUUAUUGGGUUUAAAGGGUGCGUAGGUGGUCUGUUAAGUCAGUGCUGAAAUAUCCCGGCUUAACCGGGAGGGUGGCAUUGAUACUGAUGGACUUGAGUAAAGUUGAGGUAGGCGGAAUUGACGGUGUAGCGGUGAAAUGCUUAGAUAUCGUCAAGAACACCGAUAGCGAAGGCAGCUUACUAAGCUUUAACUGACGCUGAGGCACGAAAGUGUGGGGAUCAAACAGG
rnacentral:rRNA from 1 species